rnacentral:lncRNA from 1 species
GUAAGAUGAAUUGGGCAUGACUAAGGUGUAGGGGUGCCAGGCCUUCCAUUAACAGGAAAGGUAUGCAGGGGCAGCAGAGCGGGGCAGCACACCAAGGACGCAAACCAAGAUUCCCUUCCAAAGGGUGAGUUACAGGGAGAAGGGGAGGAAAGAGGAGAAGACAAAGCUUGAUGUCCUCAGGGGAAGGGCUACUUAACCAGUCCCUGCUUAGGACUGCGGCGCAGCCUGAGGCCAGAGCUCUGGCUGCCGCCAAGCAGGUGUGCACACAUCUGUGAAUCCGUGAGCCCCAGCCUUACCCCCGAUAAAGCGGAGUUGGCGCUCCACUCUGUUCCUGCAAGGAGUCGCCACAAGGAUCAAACGAUAGGAGAUAAGAGAAAAGAAAGAAGAAAGCUUUACAUAGUACUACACAGGCAGGCCUUGCUGCCACGUCCCCAGAGCCUAGACCAGCGCCUGGCACGCCGUGGACACUUGGAUUUACCUACAGGAAUUAAAGCAUUAGCAAGGUCCUGUGCACGAGGAAAUGAAUGCAUACCACAGCAUGAUGGCAAGCCCGGGAUCGCAAGGAGAGUGAUUCACAUGCCGUUACUGAACUAGUAGAACCUGCUUUUAAUGGCCAGAAGAUGUUCAUUUCCUGAGGCUCGAACAUUUUCUACUCCCCAGUCUGAAUACAACAAUCUCUCCACUGGCGCCAAGAAACACAGAGCUCCGUGGGCGAAAUACCCUGCCUGGGGCUCUUAUUCUGAAGAAAAGCUCAAAGAUCAAUUGUCUAAAGCUCUCAGUGCCAUUCGCUUGUACGAAAGUGCCAAAAUCUGGAGAGACAUGGCAUUUUGAGUUAUGGGACCAACUACCCAAAGAAGGCAGAUUUCAACGGGAGCUAUAGCUGUGAAUUCUGACAUCUGUUCGCUAGUGAUUAAUGACAUCAGGGAAAACAAGCCAGCAGGCACUGAUGUUAAGAGAGAAAGCUAUUUUAAACACCCCCAUUCUAAUUAAAUAUUUCUUCUUAUAACACUCGGAACCUAAAAAUAGGUUUGAUCUGUCCAUUGGGGGCCACUUUGAGUUGACAGGAGAAGUUUAAUUAGAUUGCCUCAAACAGGAAUGUUAUUCUCCAAGGUUUUUGAUACUGCCGGUAACUCUGGGGCUGAGGUCUGGGGGGUGUGUGUGUGUGAGUGUGUGUGUGUGUGUGUGUGUGUGUGUGUGUGCGUGCGCGCAUAGUGGGUGCCUAGUAAAGUAGAAGGUAGUAUUUUCUGACAUCAGAGGAGGCUAGAAGGAAGGCAUGUGUGUGCUUGGUGUAUUAGGUCUUUAACAAUCUAGCAGUAAGGGAUAAUAAAUAUAUUUAACCCUUUAAUAUGGAAAAAGUU